AACUCAAGUGACGCAGCUAGAAGGAUGAGUCGGAUAUUUGUAUCAUGCGAAAUGGCCUACAACGAUGCGACCUCGAGGAAUCAAGACCCUUGGCAAAAAACUUGGAUAGUCCCAAUUCAACAGAUUUAUUGAUUUUAACUCUUUAAUAAAACUGUCAUUGAAAGGAGGACAUAAAUCUAUAGAAACGUUAGUAUAAGGGCCAUGAUAUGAUAAGGACGGAAUUGGAAAGUUGAUUUUAUUACAUCAGGAUUUUCUCCUAAACCAGAAAAAUAAUGAAGAUAAAUUGAACAAUCUUGAAAAAAAAAUAAAAAAUUUGCAAUUGGAAAGUUCGGCAGACCUUAUGCGGAGAACAACGUAAAAAAGAGACAUAAGUCAUAAAAAU